rnacentral:rRNA from 1 species
GACGAACGCUGGCGGCGUGCCUAAUACAUGCAAGUAGAACGCUGAAGGAGGAGCUUGCUUCUCUGGAUGAGUUGCGAACGGGUGAGUAACGCGUAGGUAACCUGCCUGGUAGCGGGGGAUAGCUAUUGGAAACGAUAGCUAAUACCGCAUAAGAGUAGAUGUUGCAUGACAUUUGCUUAAAAGGUGCAAUUGCAUCACUACCAGAUGGACCUGCGUUGUAUUAGCUAGUUGGUGGGGUAACGGCUCACCAAGGCGACGAUACAUAGCCGACCUGAGAGGGUGAUCGGCCACACUGGGACUGAGACACGGCCCAGACUCCUACGGGAGGCAGCAGUAGGGAAUCUUCGGCAAUGGACGGAAGUCUGACCGAGCAACGCCGCGUGAGUGAAGAAGGUUUUCGGAUCGUAAAGCUCUGUUGUAAGAGAAGAACGAGUGUGAGAGUGGAAAGUUCACACUGUGACGGUAUCUUACCAGAAAGGGACGGCUAACUACGUG